AAGGAGCAAGUGCCGAAAUAACAUCGCGAAAGUGACAGUGAAGAAAAUAGUGAAUAUAUCUUAAGAACUACGGCUCUAUCGUUCUCGACAAUUUUUUAGUGGUAAAACACUUCCGCGGAUAAAACUUCGCAUGCUGCGAAACCAAUUCACGAUGAGCACUCGACAGGGACACGCUCCACCACCUCGUCCGCAAAUGCAGCUGCCUACUCAAACUGUCCCCUCUCGCGCGCACGUGCGCAACCGGCUGCGUCCGUAAUGUGUACGCCGCGCAGUUUAACAAACUACUAUCAACGGAACUACUGGAGAAGUCGGAAAACACUGAAUUCGUUAACUACUUCAUCCAUGGGCAUCGAGGCCGGGAGCAUAGCAUCGAGC